GACGAACGCUGGCGGCGUGCUUAACACAUGCAAGUCGAACGGAAAGGCCCUGCUUUUGUGGGGUGCUCGAGUGGCGAACGGGUGAGUAACACGUGAGUAACCUGCCCUUGACUUUGGGAUAACUUCAGGAAACUGGGGCUAAUACCGGAUAGGAUCUCCUGCUGCAUGGUGGGGGUUGGAAAGUUUCGGCGGUUGGGGAUGGACUCGCGGCUUAUCAGCUUGUUGGUUGGGUAGUGGCUUACCAAGGCUUUGACGGGUAGCCGGCCUGAGAGGGUGACCGGCGACAAUGGGACUGAGAUACGGAGCAGACGCCUACGGGAGGCAGCAGGGGGGAAUAUUGCACAAUGGGCGGAAGCCUGAGGCAGAAACGCCGCGUGCGGGAUGACGGCCUUCGGGGUGUAAACAGCUUUCGCCUGUGACGAAGCGUGAGUGACGGUAAUGGGUAAAGAAGCACCGGCUAACUACGUG
rnacentral:rRNA from 1 species